rnacentral:rRNA from 1 species
GAUGAACGCUGGCGGCGUGCCUAAUACAUGCAAGUCGAGCGAACAGACGAGGAGCUUGCUCCUCUGACGUUAUCGGCGGACGGGUGAGUAACACGUGGAUAACCUACCUAUAAGACUGGGAUAACUUCGGGAAACCGGAGCUAAUACCGGAUAAUAUAUUUAACCGCAUGGUUCAAUAGUGAAAGACGGUUUUGCUGUCACUUAUAGAUGGAUCCGCGCCGCAUUAGCUAGUUGGUAAGGUAACGGCUUACCAAGGCAACGAUGCGUAGCCGACCUGAGAGGGUGAUCGGCCACACUGGAACUGAGACACGGUCCAGACUCCUACGGGAGGCAGCAGUAGGGAAUCUUCCGCAAUGGGCGAAAGCCUGACGGAGCAACGCCGCGUGAGUGAUGAAGGUCUUCGGAUCGUAAAACUCUGUUAUUAGGGAAGAACAAAUGUGUAAGUAACUAUGCACGUCUUGACGGUACCUAAUCAGAAAGCCACGGCUAACUACGUG